rnacentral:rRNA from 1 species
CCAGCGAACUUGGCAGAGAUGCCUUGGUGCCUUCGGGAACGCUGAGACAGGUGCUGCAUGGCUGUCGUCAGCUCGUGUUGUGAAAUGUUGGGUUAAGUCCCGCAACGAGCGCAACCCUCAUCCUUUGUUGCCAGCGAUUCGGUCGGGAACUCAAAGGAGGCUGCCGGUGAUAAACCGGAGGAAGGUGGGGAUGACGUCAAGUCAUCAUGGCCCUUACGAGUAGGGCUACACACGUGCUACAAUGGCGCAUACAAAGAGAAGCGACCUCGCGAGAGCAAGCGGACCUCAUAAAGUGCGUCGUAGUCCGGAUCGGAGUCUGCAACUCGACUCCGUGAAGUCGGAAUCGCUAGUAAUCGUGGAUCAGAAUGCCACGGUGAAUACGUUCCCGGGCCUUGUACACACCGCCCGUCACACCAUGGGAGUGGGUUGCAAAAGAAGUAGGUAGCUUAACCUUCGGGAGGGCGCUUACCACUUUGUGAUUCAUGACUGGGGUGAAGUCGUAACAAGGUAAGCGUAGCGAG